rnacentral:rRNA from 1 species
UUUAGCUACAGGCUUAACACAUGCAAGUCGAGGGGCAUCAGGAAGAAAGCUUGCUUUCUUUGCUGGCGACCGGCGCACGGGUGAGUAACACGUAUUCAACCUGCCCUUUACUCGGGGAUAGCCUUUCGAAAGAAAGAUUAAUACCCGAUAGCAUAAUGAUUCCGCAUGGUUUCAUUAUUAAAGGAUUCCGGUAAAGGAUGGGGGUGCGUUCCAUUAGGUUGUUGGUGAGGUAACGGCCCACCAAGCCUUCGAUGGAUAGGGGUUCUGAGAGGAAGGUCCCCCACAUUGGAACUGAGACACGGUCCAAACUCCUACGGGAGGCAGCAGUGAGGAAUAUUGGUCAAUGGGCGCUAGCCUGAACCAGCCAAGUAGCGUGAAGGAUGAAGGCUCUAUGGGUCGUAAACUUCUUUUAUAUAAGAAUAAAGUGCAGUAUGUAUACUGUUUUGUAUGUACUAUAUGAAUAAGGAUCGGCUAACUCCGUGCCAGCAGCCGCGGUAAUACGGAGGAUCCGAGCGUUAUCCGGAUUUAUUGGGUUUAAAGGGAGCGUAGGUGGACUGGUAAGUCAGUUGUGAAAGUUUGCGGCUCAACCGUAAAAUUGCAGUUGAUACUGUCAGUCUUGAGUACAGUAGAGGUGGGCGGAAUUCGUGGUGUAGCGGUGAAAUGCUUAGAUAUCACGAAGAACUCCGAUUGCGAAGGCAGCUCACUGGACUGCAACUGACACUGAUGCUCGAAAGUGUGGGUAUCAAACAGGAUUAGAUACCCUGGUAGUCCACACAGUAAACGAUGAAUACUCGCUGUUUGCGAUAUACAGUAAGCGGCCAAGCGAAAGCAUUAAGUAUUCCACCCUGGGGAGUACGCCGGCAACGGUGAAACUCAAAGGAAUUGACGGGGGCCCGCACAAGCGGAGGAACAUGUGGUUUAAUUCGAUGAUACGCGAGGAACCUUACCCGGGCUUAAAUUGCAGUGGAAUGAUGUGGAAACAUGUCAGUGAGCAAUCACCGCUGUGAAGGUGCUGCAUGGUUGUCGUCAGCUCGUGCCGUGAGGUGUCGGCUUAAGUGCCAUAACGAGCGCAACCCUUAUCUUUAGUUACUAACAGGUUAUGCUGAGGACUCUAGAGAGACUGCCGUCGUAAGAUGUGAGGAAGGUGGGGAUGACGUCAAAUCAGCACGGCCCUUACGUCCGGGGCUACACACGUGUUACAAUGGGGGGUACAGAAGGCAGCUAGCGGGUGACCGUAUGCUAAUCCCAAAAUCCUCUCUCAGUUCGGAUCGAAGUCUGCAACCCGACUUCGUGAAGCUGGAUUCGCUAGUAAUCGCGCAUCAGCCACGGCGCGGUGAAUACGUUCCCGGGCCUUGUACACACCGCCCGUCAAGCCAUGGGAGCCGGGGGUACCUGAAGUACGUAACCGCAAGGAUCGUCCUAGGGUAAAACUGGUGACUG